ensembl:miRNA
GGACCUGCCCUGGGCUUUCUAGUCUCAGCUCUCCUCCAGCUCAGCUGGUCAAGAGAGCAGAGACUAGAAAACCCAGGGCAGGUUC